rnacentral:rRNA from 1 species
GGAUUAGAUACCCUGGUAGUCCAUGCCGUAAACGAUGUGUGUUAGACGUUGGAAAUUUAUUUUCAGUGUCGCAGCGAAAGCGAUAAACACACCGCCUGGGGAGUACGUUCGCAAGAAUGAAACUCAAAGGAAUUGACGGGGGCCCGCACAAGCGGUGGAGCAUGUGGUUUAAUUCGAUGAUACGCGAGGAACCUUACCAGGGCUUAAAUGUUAGGUGACAGAUCUAGAAAUAGAUUUUUCUUCGGACACUUAACAAGGUGCUGCAUGGUUGUCGUCAGCUCGUGCCG